rnacentral:sRNA from 1 species
AGGUAAGCGCUCUACCACUGAGCUAAAUACCCAGCCCCUCAUCUUUUUAAAGAGAGAUAGGUCCCCAACGGGACAUUCCAGAAUUCUGAGUGUCCUCAUCCCUGACUUUGACAGACAGUUUUGUUCCUCCUUGUUUGUCCCAGGAACCUUGAUUCUUCUCAGGCUGCCGGCUGUAGAGUUGCUUAUGUGCCCAGUUAUAACUCACCGCAGUGGGAGACUGGCCUGGUUGAGCACGCUGCAGGCUCCCCGAGCACAGGAUAGCACUUUCUGAGGGACAUGAUAAAGGAAAGGUGCUGAGAUGAAUAGAGAACUCCACUAUACCCAACCUAAAACCCUCAUUGUUCCAGGAGCAACCUGAAGACUACCAUGUUUUCCUCAGUUUUUAAAACAAUUAGAAUUUUUAUUUGUG